AGCGUAGGUGGCCUAACAUGUCAACUGUGAAAAACCCGGAGCUCAACUCCGGACUUGCAGUUGAAGCUGGUAGGCUUGAGGACGGUAGAGGAAGACGGAACUGCCAGUGUAGGGGUAAAAAUCCUUAGAUAUUGGCAGGAACGCCGGUGACGAAGGUGGUUUUCUGGGCCGGUUCUGACACUGAUGCUCGAAAGCCAGGGGAGCGAACG
rnacentral:rRNA from 1 species